AGCCGAGUUCGCGCCGCCGGUAGGUGCUGCCAUGCCAGGGGGCGGGAUCGUGGAGCGCCUCGUAGAACCGCACGAAAGCAAAAACAAAGCCAUCUCUCCGAAGCAGAAAUAGAACAGACGUGGCCGGGGAAAGCCAAAUAUUUCCUGCCGUCCUGGUGAACACAAUCGAGCAAGGCAGUGAAGCAAAAAUCAUUAGGUGGCUGGACUCAGACACAUCACGCUCCAGUUUGGGUUCCAAGGUGCUUCUCUCUGGAUUUUCACCUGCCUUGCCAAAAAUGAUUGAUUACGCUGGGCCAACUGGGUGUCCGGCGAUACCCAACAAAUGACUUUGGCCCCUAACCGCAGGCCUUGGCCAGAUAGAAAUCAAUAUUUCACCAUUAAAAUCUAUCAAAGAAGAGUUAAGGCACCAUCUGUCCCUGCCGCCUCUCUAUGGUGUGUGAACAUUAAAUCCGACACUUGUACUACAUGGGUAAUCAAUAUAUAGUGGUUCACAGAUCAUUUGUGGUCCCCUUUUAGCAGUGAUGGAUGUCUGGAAUCGUUGUGAUUCAUUUUGUCAGACCAUUAAACAAGAUUCUGUCCA
rnacentral:lncRNA from 1 species